CAUCUUUUAUUUUUAAGACCUUUCGGAAGGUAUGCUUAAAGAGGGGCUUGCGUCACAUUAGUUAGUUGGCAGGGUAAAGGCCUACCAAGACUAUGAUGUGUAGCUGGACUGAGAGGUUGAACAGCCACAUUGGGACUGAGACACGGCCCAAACUCCUACGGGAGGCAGCAGUAGGGAAUUUUCGGCAAUGGAGGAAACUCUGACCGAGCAACGCCGCGUGAACGAUGAAGUAUUUCGGUAUGUAAAGUUCUUUUAUUGAAGAAGAAAAAAUAGUGGAAAAACUAUCUUGACGAUAUUCAAUGAAUAAGCCCCGGCAAACUAUGUGCCAGCAGCCGCGGUAAUACAUAGGGGGCGAGCGUUAUCCGGAAUUAUUGGGCGUAAAGGGUGCGUAGGCGGUUUAAUAAGUCUAUAGUUUAAUUUCAGUGCUUAACACUGUCCUGCUAUAGAAACUAUUAGACUAGAGUGAGAUAGAGGCAAGUGGAAUUCCAUGUGUAGCGGUAAAAUGCGUAAAUAUAUGGAGGAACACCAGAGGCGUAGGCGGCUUGCUGGGUCUUUACUGACGCUGAGGCACGAAAGCGUGGGGAGCAAACAGGAUUAGAUACCCUGGUAGUCCACGCCGUAAACGAUGAGUACUAAGUGUCGGGAUUACUCGGUACUGAAGUUAACACAUUAAGUACUCCGCCUGAGUAGUACGUACGCAAGUAUGAAACUUAAAGGAAUUGACGGGACUCCGCACAAGCGGGGGAUCAUGUUGUUUAAUUCGAAGAUACACCAAAAACCUUACCAGGUCUUGACAUACUCUGCAAAGCUAUAGCAAUAUAGUGGAGGUUAUCAGAGAUACAGGUGGUGCAUGGUUGUCGUCAGCUCGUGUCGUGAGAUGUUAGGUUAAGUCCUAAAACGAGCGCAACCCUUGUCAUUAGUUGCCAGCAUGUCAUGAUGGGCACUUUAAUGAGACUGCCAAUGAAAAAUUGGAGGAAGGUGAGGAUCACGUCAAAUCAUCAUGCCCCUUAUGAUCUGGGCUACAAACGUGAUACAAUGGCUGUUACAAAGAGUAGCUGAAACGCAAGUUUAUAGCCAAUCUCAUAAAAGCAGUCUCAGUUCGGAUUGAAGUCUGAACUCGACUUCAUGAAGUUGGAAUCGCUAGUAAUCGCGAAUCAGCAUCGCGAACCCACACAAA
rnacentral:rRNA from 2 species